rnacentral:rRNA from 1 species
GAUGAACGCUAGCUACAGGCUUAACACAUGCAAGUCGAGGGGAAACGGCAUUGAGUGCUUGCACUCUUUGGACGUCGACCGGCGCACGGGUGAGUAACGCGUAUCCAACCUUCCCAUUACUGUGGGAUAACCUGCCGAAAGGCAGACUAAUACCGCAUAGUCUUCGAUGACGGCAUAAGAUUUGAAGUAAAGAUUUAUCGGUAAUGGAUGGGGAUGCGUCUGAUUAGCUUGUUGGCGGGGUAACGGCCCACCAAGGCUACGAUCAGUAGGGGUUCUGAGAGUAAGGUCCCCCACAUUGGAACUGAGACACGGUCCAAACCGCUACGGGAGGCAGCAGUGAGGAAUAUUGGGCAAUGGACGGAAGUCUGAACCAGCCAAGUAGCGUGCAGGAUGACGGCCCUAUGGGUUGUAAACUGCUUUUGUAUGGGGAUAAAGUUAGGGACGGGUCCCUAUUUGCAGGUACCAUACGAAUAAGGACCGGCUAAUUCCGUG